rnacentral:rRNA from 1 species
UGGGGAAUAUUGCGCAAUGGGGGGAACCCUGACGCAGCCAUGCCGCGUGAAUGAAGAAGGCCUUAGGGUUGUAAAGUUCUUUCGGUAUUGAGGAAGGUUGAUGUGUUAAUAGCACAUCAAAUUGACGUUAAAUACAGAAGAAGCACCGGCUAACUCCGUGCCAGCAGCCGCGGUAAUACGGAGGGUGCGAGCGUUAAUCGGAAUAACUGGGCGUAAAGGGCACGCAGGCGGUUAUUUAAGUGAGGUGUGAAAGCCCCGGGCUUAACCUGGGAAUUGCAUUUCAGACUGGGUAACUAGAGUACUUUAGGGAGGGGUAGAAUUCCACGUGUAGCGGUGAAAUGCGUAGAGAUGUGGAGGAAUACCGAAGGCGAAGGCAGCCCCUUGGGAAUGUACUGACGCUCAUGUGCGAAAGCGUGGGGAGCAAACAGGAUUAGAUACCCUGGUAGUCCACGCUGUAAACGCUGUCGAUUUGGGGGUUGGGGUUUAACUCUGGCGCCCGUAGCUAACGUGAUAAGUCGACCGCCUGGGGAGUACGGCCGCAAGGUUA